rnacentral:misc_RNA from 1 species
AAAAAAGAUUCUCAGCAAGCCCAAAGCACAAAUAGAAACCUUAGACAGAGGAGGAUCUGGCCAAGACAGAGAAGCGGCGCUGAUCAUACACCUGAAGCCGAUAACCCGAAGAUAUAAACUGCCUGAGGAAGAUGAUUUGAAACCAAGAAUCACAACUUGAGGAGAAACUCUAAAGGAUGAUGCCAUGCAACCCCAUUCAAGCCCAAGCAGAGUCUCCUCAAACCCACGACAGCUUCUCCAGAAAGAUCGAGCCAAGAACCUUCGUUUACCCACUUGAGAACCAAACUAGAAGGAGCCAGAACAGAAAUUUCUAAAGACCUAGGUCAUGGAACUAGACAUAAUACAACUGACACAAACGUUUCAUGGAGGGUGAAGAUGGCAAAACUGGCAAUUCAGCUUUGAGGGUCACUCAUGAAAGGGCUAAUCUGGCUAAAAACCCUAGAGAUACCAUCUUCCAUAAACUCAAACCCUUCGCAAAUCU